AUCAGUCCUUGGUAGGACUUGAUAGAGUCCUUGGCUCUCUGUCCAUGGCUAGCUGACUACCGGCCAGAACACUGGAUUUAGAUCCUUGAAGCAAGACUAAGACACCAAUGCAGACACCCUGACAUCUAGGGACAGGUAGAAACGGCAGCCUGUCUCUCAGGCUGAUAUAAGGACAGAUUGGAACAUUGAAUGAGGUACCCUGGCCUUUCCUCAUUGGCUUCCUCAUCUAGAACAUCGUGUUAGCUAUAAACACGAUCGCUCGCUUCAGAAGCAGAGUCCUACAGUACUAGAUUCCAGCAGCUUCAACUCAACCCAAGGACUGGACAAGCUGACUCCGACCCACCGCCUAUGCUGUAAAUAAAGUUUCACUGGAGCUCAGCCACAUCUACUCAUGGUAUGUAGUGGAUGGCAACUUUUGCAAAGCAAAGACAGAACUCUGAAGCUUCAAUGGCCAUAGGAAAGAAAGAAAGAAAGAAAGAAAGAAAGAAAGAAAGA